rnacentral:rRNA from 1 species
CGGCGUGCUCAACACAUGCAAKUCGAACGAUGAAGCCUUUCGGGGUGGAUUAGUGGCGAACGGGUGAGUAACACGUGGGCAAUCUGCCCUUCACUCUGGGACAAGCCCUGGAAACGGGGUCUAAUACCGGAUAACACUCUGUCCCGCAUGGGACGGGGUUAAAAGCUCCGGCGGUGAAGGAUGAGCCCGCGGCCUAUCAGCUUGUUGGUGGGGUGAUGGCCUACCAAGGCGACGACGGGUAGCCGGCCUGAGAGGGCGACCGGCCACACUGGGACUGAGACACGGCCCAGACUCCUACGGGAGGCAGCAGUGGGGAAUAUUGCACAAUGGGCGAAAGCCUGAUGCAGCGACCCGCGUUGAGGGAUGACGGCCUUCGGGUUU